rnacentral:rRNA from 1 species
CCUACGGGCGGCAGCAGUGAGGAAUAUUGGUCAAUGGGCGCGAGCCUGAACCAGCCAAGUAGCGUGAAGGAUGACUGCCCUACGGGUUGUAAACUUCUGUUAUAAAGGAAUAAAGUGAGGCACGUGUGCCUUUUUGUAUGUACGUUAUGAAUAAGGAUCGGCUAACUCCGUGCCAGCAGCCGCGGUAAUACGGAGGAUCCGAGCGUUAUCCGGAUUUAUUUGGUUUAAAGGGAGCGUAGAUGGGUUGUUAAGUCAGUUGUGAAAGUUUGCGGCUCAACCGGAAAAUUGCAAUUGAUACUGGCAGUCUUGCGUCCAGUUGCGGUAGGCGGAUUUCGUGGUGUAGCGGUGAAAUGCUUAGAUAUCAC